CAAUUUCAAUUCUUUGUCUUGGGGCGGGGAGAUUGGCCUGUGUCAAACUUCCCCGCCCAGAUGGGCCUCAAAGUCAGGCUUCACUCACUUCAACCUUGCACCCAGCUCUCACUCGAUGGCUUCCACUAGGUUUGGAAUAGUCGCAGGCUGAUGCCGUAAAAACUUCCGAAAACCCCUUCUGUGUACCAAAUAACCAGUCACCAGCACCCUCGGACGUCAACCGGCCACCUCGUUUCUUCGGAAUCUUUGUCCAUACGCGCCUCACACAUGACAAGUGCGAGCCAGCCGGGUGCCCCAUCUCAUGGACCCUCGAGUUUCCAUUCCGAGAUCAUGGGAGGGCCCCGCAAGUCUAUCCAGGAAAUUUGCUUUUCCCGCUGGCGAGUGCUACAUCCGGGGGUGGGUUCUCCGGAGAACAGGCCGAAGUUGACCAUAUCCACAUACGAGGAUGACCAUGACACAGAGGGUAGUUACCAUAUGCCCCUGCUCAGCACAAUCCAGGUUUAGAAUUUGUUGGGCGAAAAUCACCAAAAAUCAUCACCUGCGAGCUCAAGCCUGCAACUUGCAAGGACGUGGACUUAUGUAAAGCCCUUCAGGAUUGACUCCAGAUGCAGAUUAGUUUUGCAAACUGAAGCCCAAUGGCCGAGUCAAGGCAAGGUCUCCCGAUGCCACAGGUCAAGGAUCUGUUGACAGUGAAAAUGGCAUGAAAUUAGACGGGAAAAGUCAGCCCUAGGAAAUCUUAACUACGACCCAACCACCACAAAAGAUUCCGGUCACCGACUUCUACAUCUCAUUGGAACCUUCAGUGUUAGCCGCCUGCAUCCUCGUUACAUUUUUCCCACUCUUUUCGUAAAGUGCUUCACUGGUCUGGUGGAUACGCAGCGGUGCAUCUCUGGCGUGCCCAUAGAGGUACCGCUUAUCCUUUCCUUUCCUCGAUACACCCUCGCAGACAACGUCAUGUCAUGCAGCAACUAGGGCUUGCGACUUCCGAUCGUUGAGCCAACUCGGGUGUCCGCGUUGCUCCACUGCCAUGGGUAAGUUGUCUGUUUGGUUUGCUCACCGUCCCAUGAACCCCAAGGUCUGGGAACCAGCUGUCCCAGCAGAAGAAGGGUACCUAGUUAUAUAGACGCACAACAGGGCAAUCUGCCACUCUUCUUCCGUUCUUGCUGCCCGACCAGCAGCAUCUCAAACACAUCGGUCCAACAAAAAUGAGCUG